rnacentral:lncRNA from 1 species
UGUGAUCAAUAGAAGACGAGUAAUUCCAUAACCUAAUAACUACGUGUUAUAACUUUUUAAAUGUUUCUUAUAUAUUCGGCUCGUAAAGGACUAUGUUACAAGUUCAUACCAAAGUCCAAACCUUUAUUAUUGAUUAAUUUGAUUUUCUAUAUUUAUAGCCAAGAAAAGGUCGAAGGGAAAGGGCAUAGUUGGAACGCACAAAAGUGGGAAGAGAAGCGAAAAAAUAUAUGAGAAGAAAGAAUCACACGUUCCAGCCCUGGAUUCAACUUUUUCCAACCUCAUGGGCUUUUAUUUUAGCAUUUAUCUUCUAUUAGUCUUUUGUUAUUUACUUCAUUUAUCUGUCCCUAC